rnacentral:rRNA from 1 species
GAUGAACGCUGGCGGCGUGCCUAAUACAUGCAAGUCGAGCGAACAGAUGAGGAGCUUGCUCCUCUGACGUUAGCGGCGGACGGGUGAGUAACACGUGGAUAACCUACCUAUAAGACUGGGAUAACUUCGGGAAACCGGAGCUAAUACCGGAUAAUAUAUUGAACCGCAUGGUUCAAUAGUGAAAGACGGUUUUGCUGUCACUUAUAGAUGGAUCCGCGCCGCAUUAGCUAGUUGGUAAGGUAACGGCUUACCAAGGCAACGAUGCGUAGCCGACCUGAGAGGGUGAUCGGCCACACUGGAACUGCGACACGGUCCAGACUCCUACGGGAGGCAGCAGUAGGGAAUCUUCCGCAAUGGUCGAAAGCCUGACGGAGCAACGCCGCGUGAGUGAUGAAGGUCUUCGGAUCGUAAAACUCUGUUAUUAGGGAAGAACAAAUGUGUAAGUAACUAUGCACGUCUUGACGGUACCUAAUCAGAAAGCCACGGCUAACUACGUG